GCCGGUGUGGCGGAACUGGCAGACGCGCGGGACUCAAAAUCCCGUCCGGGGCAACUCGGGUGUGGGUUCGAUCCCCUCCUCCGGCA
rnacentral:tRNA from 1 species